rnacentral:tRNA from 1 species
UCCUUUAUAGCUCAGUUGGUAGAGCAGUGGAUUGUUAAUCCUCGCGUCCUUGGUUCAAGUCCAAGUUAAGGAG